rnacentral:rRNA from 1 species
AACGAACGCUGGCGGCGUGGAUAAGACAUGCAAGUCGAACGGGAACUUCAGCUGUAGCAAUACAGUUGAAGUUUUAGUGGCGAACGGGUGCGUAACACGUGGGCAAUCUGCCGAGAAGUGGGGGAUAGCUCGCCGAAAGGCGAAUUAAUACCGCAUAUGAUCAGCUAAGACAUCUUAGCGACAUCAAAGCCGGGGCAACCUGGCGCUUUUUGAGGAGCCCGCGGCCUAUCAGCUAGUUGGUGAGGUAACGGCUCACCAAGGCUAUGACGGGUAGCUGGUCUGAGAGGACGACCAGUCACACUGGAACUGAGACACGGUCCAGACACCUACGGGAGCAGCAGUUCAGAAUCUUGCACAAUGGGCG